AUUGAACGCUGGCGGCAGGCCUAACACAUGCAAGUCGAGCAGAUGAAGGGAGCUUGCUCCUGGAUUCAGCGGCGGACGGGUGAGUAAUGCCUAGGAAUCUGCCUGGUAGUGGGGGAUAACGUCCGGAAACGGGCGCUAAUACCGCAUACGUCCUGAGGGAGAAAGUGGGGGAUCUUCGGACCUCACGCUAUCAGAUGAGCCUAGGUCGGAUUAGCUAGUUGGUGGGGUAAAGGCCUACCAAGGCGACGAUCCGUAACUGGUCUGAGAGGAUGAUCAGUCACACUGGAACUGAGACACGGUCCAGACUCCUACGGGAGGCAGCAGUGGGGAAUAUUGGACAAUGGGCGAAAGCCUGAUCCAGCCAUGCCGCGUGUGUGAAGAAGGUCUUCGGAUUGUAAAGCACUUUAAGUUGGGAGGAAGGGCAGUAAGUUAAUACCUGGCUGUUUGGACGUUACCAACAGAAUAAGCACCGGCGAACUUCGU
rnacentral:rRNA from 1 species